UACGUAGGGGGCAAGCGUUAUCCGGAUUUAUUGGGCGUAAAGGGAACGCAGGCGGUCUUUUAAGUCUGAUGUGAAAGCCUUCGGCUUAACCGGAGUAGUGCAUUGGAAACUGUGCAGCUGGAGUGCAGGAGAGGUAAGCGGAAUUCCUAGUGUAGCGGUGAAAUGCGUAGAUAUUAGGAGGAACACCAGUGGCGAAGGCGGCUUACUGGACUGUAACUGACGUUGAGGCUCGAAAGCGUGGGGAUCGAACAGG
rnacentral:rRNA from 1 species